CUUUAACUGAGGUUCUCCAUCAUCCCCAAAACACACAAACGACCUAGUCUGAAUAGGAACUUGACUUGGUGAAAACCUCCGUAACCGAGGAAGACUAUCCACAGACCGAGGGGGCGUCAGUGUUCGAUUCAAAGGAACACUUACUACCUCCUUGUGGACGAACAACACGAGGCUGAACAAAUGAUGGCUUCACAACUUCAAACCACCAGAAGAGUUCUGCCAUGAACACCAAAUAAUUACUCUACAUAAGAGAGUUUUGUCUCAAGUCCUGGGACCUGAACGAUUCCUUCUUCUGGACAUAUUCCAUGGUCCUGUUGAGCGGUGAAAGUGACCAGAACCUCCUUUAUGCUCCUUCCUUUAUGCUGUACUGGCAUCUACCUAAGACUCAGAAACAUGUAGUGGCUUAUCCUCCAUUGUGCUAACAUUAGGGCAAUAGAUCAAUUUUGUACUAUAACUUUAAGUUUAGCUUUAUAUUGUAAAAGAAACCUAUAGCUAACAGUGUAUUUAAACACACACACACACACACACACACAAACACACACACACACACACACACACACACAGACA